rnacentral:rRNA from 1 species
UACGGAGGGUGCAAGCGUUAUCCGGAUUCACUGGGUUUAAAGGGUGCGUAGGUGGGCAGGUAAGUCAGUGGUGAAAUCUCCGGGCUUAACUCGGAAACUGCCAUUGAUACUAUCUUUCUUGAAUACCGUGGAGGUCAGCGGAAUAUGUCAUGUAGCGGUGAAAUGCUUAGAUAUGACAUAGAACACCUAUUGCGAAGGCAGCUAACUACGCGAAUAUUGACGCUGAGGCACGAAAGCGUGGGGAUCAAACAGG